rnacentral:snoRNA from 1 species
AAGCUAAUGAUGACACAACUGAUUGGAAUUACCAUCUGAAUAAUUAUAUAUUCUUUGAUGUAAAGUUCUUGGCUGUGGUACUGAGGCUUCAA